rnacentral:tRNA from 1 species
UGGGGGAUCGUCUAAUGGUAGGACGGUAGAGUCUGGUUCUACAGAUAUAGGUUCGAGUCCUAUUCCCCCAU